AUCAGGGAAUGGCAAACAGCACUAUUGCAAAUUUUUUUGCAAUAGUGCUACAGUGCAAUUCUAUGUUUAGAAUUGCACUGUAGCAAGUAUUGUAUCAAAAAUAAUAUAUUUUAUGUGUUUCCCCCUAAAACUUCUCUCUCAUGAAUUCAUUCUGUGCGGGCUCUCCUCUCUCUCUAUUCAUUCUCUGUUUCUCAUCUGCUCUCUCCUCAUCUCUGAAGCUUCAUCUCCGAAAUGUCUAUGUGACCAUCUCCGAAAUUUCUGGACCCAUCUCCAUCUCUAUCUCCGAAAUUUCUCACCCGAUUCACCCUCACCCAUCUCCAUCGCUGACCCUCACCCAUUCACCGAUUCACCCUCACCGAUUCACCCUCACCCUCACCUCACCCGGUCACCGAUUCACCCUCACCCUAACCUCACCCAUUCACCGAUUCACCCUCACCCAUUCAUCCUCACCCAUCUCCAUCUCUGAAGCUUCACCCUCACCCAUUCACUGAUUCACCCUCACCUCACCCAUUCACCCUCACCGAUUCACCCUCACCCUCACCCAUCUUAACCGAUUCACCCUCACCCAUUCUCAAGGGUUUUUAGGUUUGGGUUCAGAUUUUGCAAAAACGAAGCUCCGUCGAUGUUGGGGGAUUCAGCUCCGUCGGUGUUGGUGCUGACUGUAAGAGUUUUUGUUGUUGAUUUAGCAUCUUCGAGACCGUAAGCUCGAGUUCAUCUUCAGAAAGUUUGCUCGGUUCAUCUUCAAUUACUAGGAUGGUUAGGCAAGAAGACUAUGACCAAUAUGGUGAUUUCUUACAAGCUGAUUCUGAUUUUGUGGAACCAUUUUUAAGUGGGUCUCAAAAUCCUUCAAUGCCCAUCCAGUCUUUACC